rnacentral:tRNA from 8 species
GGUGAGGUGUCCGAGUGGCUGAAGGAGCACGCCUGGAAAGUGUGUAUACGGCAACGUAUCGGGGUUCGAAUCCCCCCUCACCGCCA